UAAGCCAAUACAACGCAGGAGUAUUCUUCGCAGGAUUGGCUUCGGGACAAGUGGCCCAGCCAAAGCCCGGACUUGAACCCGAUCAAACAUCUAUUGAUGCGCCGCUCUCCAUCCAACUUGACAGAGCUUGAGAGGAUCUGCAGAGAAGAAUAGGAGAAACUCCCCAAAUACAGACAGACAGAACAAGAAGACACACCGAGUGACCGCAGAGAAGAUGCGGAGACAGAUAGAAAGCACAACAGGCCCUCAACAUUCUACUUUUCUACAUUUGGUGGCAGCAGUGGUCCCAGGCCAGCAGGGGGCCACCUAGAAUGAGAAGAAGGUUAGCACCAGGAGCACGCUGACGAAGUUGGCUGAAUCAGGAGAACAGCCGGAGCAGGAGUUCCGUGAGGAUGAAGAAGAGUUUGGGAAUCCAGAGGGAGAAAAUGAGAAUGAUGGUGGCGCCAGGAACGGGGCAGUGCCAGGCACAGAGCCUAUGCCACCAGAAAUUGCUGAUCUGGGUCAGUCUCUACGGGCCUUCAUGUGGAACCAGCAUGAGAGGAAGCACCAAGUGAAGGAGUCCAUUUCUAAAAACAACUAUUUACAGUUGUUUGUAACUUUUUUUGUACAUAUUGUUUCUGCCACCAUGUCUUAUGACCGAAAAUAGCUUUUUGACAGCAGAACAGCGAAUGCUCACUUCCGACUGGACAAAGAUUUUUUUUCUUUAAUGAUUCGGAGGUGAAAGAUUUACACCUCCUACUGGACCAGGCCCAAAUCCCCAUCAUUCGCAUGAAGAGGAGAUGCUGAUACAGAGGGUGCAGCUUUGGGUGCUUGGUGAGAAUUUGUUGGUGAGUGGAUAAUCCACCGUUACCAUCCGUCCGACUAGUGAACGUGCGAUCAUUGGAGAAUAAACUGGAUGAGCUCCAUUCGAGACUAUCCUGCCAAUGGCACAUUAAAACUGUAAUAUCUUAUGUUUCACCGAGUUGUGGCUGAACGAGGACUUGGAAAAUAUAGAGUUGGCUGAGUUUCCGUGCAUCAGCAAGACAGAACAGCAACCACCGGUAAGAUGGGGGUGGUGGUCUGUCUAUUUGUCAAUAACAGCUGGUGCGCUAAGGAAGUCUUGAGGUUUUGCUCGCCUGAGGUAGAGUACCUCAUGAUAAGCUGUAGACCACACUAUUUACCAAGAGAGUUUUCAUCUAUAUUUCUCGUAUCUGUCUAUUUACCAUCACAAACCGAUGCAGGCACUAAGACUGCACUCAACGAGCUGUAAGGCCAUAAGAAAACAAGCGAAAGCUCACCCUGAAGCGGAUUCAUCUGAUGGCAUUGAGGAGAAUGUGACUUAAUAUGGCUUAAUCAAUAAUCGCAUUGACGACAUCGUCCCCACAGUGACACUACACACGUACGUACACAUCCUAACCAGAAGCCAUGGAUUACAGGCAACAUCUGCACUGAGCUAAAGGCUAGAGCUGCUGCUUUCCAGGAGCGGGACACUAAUCCAGACGCUCUAUAAGAAAUCCCGCUAUACCCUCUAACAAACCAUCAGGCAAGCGUCCAAACAGGACUAAACUGGGACUAAACACCUCCCUCUAGAACUGGAUCCUGGAUUUCUGGACGGGCUGCCCCCAGAUGGUAAAGAUUCGCAACAACACAUCUGCCACACUGAUCGUCAACACGGGGUCCCUCAGGGUUUAGUCCCAAUAUUUUUAUUUUACCAUUAUUUUAUUAGGCAAGUCAGUUAAGAACAAAUUCUUAUUUUCAAUGACGGCCUAGGAACAGUGGGUUAACUGCCUGUUCAGGAGCAGAACGACAGAUUUUGGUUACUAGUCCAAUGCUCUAACCACUAGGCUACCCUGGCAUGGGUCCUCAGAUCCUCAAAAGGUUCUGCAGUUGGAAUCAAGAGCAUCCUUACUGGUUGCAUCACCGCUUCGUAUGGCAACUUCUCGGCAUCCGACCACAAGGCACUAUAGAGGGUAGUGCGCACGGCCCUAUACAUCACUGGGGCCAAGCUUCCUGCCAUCCAGGACCUCUAUACAAGGCGGUGUCAGAGGAAGACCUCACAAAUUGUCCUUGACUCUAGCCACCCUAGUCAAAGACUGUUCACUCAGCUAACGCACGGCAAGCGGUACCUUCAGCAGCCUCCUCUGCUACUCCAGAUAUUUCACUCUUAUUCUACACCUGUUGUCUACAAAACAUGUGACAAAUAAAAUUGGAUUUGAUAUGAUUUGAUGUCACUGUACAGAACAAUCCCUAGCUGAUGGUAGGAGCAUCUCGCUCUGAUACUCUAACAACCCAAACUACCCCAAAAGGUAUAAUAGCCUUACACUCACAUUCAAGCUUUCACAACUCAUUCUAUCAACAUAGUAAUGUUUAUUUUGACAUCAUGUAUUGUUACCACUACCAUUUAGCAUAAGGUUGAAAUGUUAUUUUAAUUUUAUACUCAUUCUCCUAAAACAGGCUGUCUGAAAUACAUUUCCCAGAAUGCACUGCAUCAAACACUACAGUAUGGAAGAGAACAAUAUAACAAUUUAACAAUCUUAUGACAAAGAAAAAUAAUGUUUGAGUUAUCUUUGAGUUAUAAUCAAACACAUUUUUUUAAACGGUCUGUGUAUUCUAUGCAUAAAUGGUCUGUGUAUUCCUUUCAUAUUUCACUUCUCAGUUGAAAAGAUUUGAAAUGGUUUAAUUAAAUUACACUUCCUUUCAUUCAAAUUCAAUUCAAAUGAUGCUUCCUUUGAGAUGUGGCCAAUUCAAAUUCAUUUUUUGGGGUCAAUUCGGAAUGAAUAAAAUUCAAACAAACAAUUUUAAUUGAAUUUGAGUUGGCCUCACCCCAUAGGUGUGUCAAUUGGCCCCCGAUGAUAUCAAAGCAGGACAGAACUUAUAGUGUGCAUUGUCCCAUGAAACGUCAUAACCAUAUACAAUCAGUGAACAGAGGCAUAGAAAACAUUGACCUAAUGAAACACUGAGUGUGUGUAUAUUAUAAUAUUUACUGUAACAAACUAAAAUGACCAAUUGA